GUGCCUUUAUCUAUCAAUACAAGACUUGACAAGGAGCUUUCGGGCUUUGUUUUAUGGGGACAUACUUCUGAUAGGAGGGGUCUUCAUCUAGUUUCUUGAGCAAAUGUUUGUAUACCAAAAGACCAUGGUGGUCUGAGUUUGUGUUUAUUGGCGCAAAUGAGGUACCCAUCAUACUGUCGACCAAAUAUAUGGCCUUCCAUUUCCUUGCCUGAGCUUGAACAAGGUACAUGGGCAUCUCUCCUCUGAAUCCAUAUAUGUGAAUAAUACUGGAGAAGGUUCUUCAGUCUGUUGGGUAAAUUGUAUAUUAUCAUCUUCAUGAGAUUCCUAAGAGGAAGUUAUAUCCAUCACUGUGAGAACUUUGAGAAUAUGGUCCCUUCCAAUUCUCAUUUGAAAUGCUUCUGAAAUGUUGAGUGAUUCAUGUUGGUAGAAUUAAUUGGGUGAUUCUCAUAAUAAAUUUUCCUGUAAUUUCUUUCUCUAAUUAUUUUAACUAUUCUUUUAUAGAUCCAAGAUUCUUCACGCUUAUUCUCUGAUUCAAAUUCUAGCAUCCAUCACUCAAGUUCUUGACCCAAAGAUUCAUCAACACCUAGCUUCUUUUUUUCAGUCAAAGUUUGUUCUGUU